rnacentral:rRNA from 1 species
CUCAACUUGAGAGUUUGAUCCUGGCUCAGAACGAACGCUGGCGGCAGGCUUAACACAUGCAAGUCGAACGCCC